rnacentral:rRNA from 1 species
AGCAGCCGCGGUAAUUCCAGCUCCAAUAGCGUAUAUUAAAGUUGUUGCAGUUAAAAAGCUCGUAGUUGAACUUCGGGGUUUACCCAUUGGUCAGGCUUAAUUGUCUGUAUUGGUGAGAUAAAUCUCUACCUUCUGAGGAACUUUCAUGCCAUUUAUUUGGUGUGAUUGGAAAUCAGGACUAUUACUUUGAAAAAUUAGAGUGUUUAAAGCAGUCUAACGUCUGAAUAUAUUAGCACGGAAUAAUGAAAUAGGACGGCUUGGUUCUAUUUCGUUGGUUUCUAGGAUCACCGUAAUGAUUAAUAGGGAUAGUUGGGGGCAUUAGUAUUCAAUUGUCAGAGGUGAAAUUCUUGGAUUUAUUGAAGACUAACUACUGCGAAAGCAUUUGCCAAGGAUGUUUACAUUAAUCAAGAACGAAAGUUAGGGGAUCGAAGACGAUCAGAUACCGUCGUAGUCUUAACCAUAAACUAUGCCGACUAGGGAUCGGACGAAGUUAAUUUUAUAAUGACGCGUUCGGCACCUU